rnacentral:tRNA from 8 species
GCCCUCGUCGUUCAACGGACAGGAUGCAAGCUUGCGGAGCUUGUGAUAGAGGUUCAAUUCCUCUCGAGGGCGUCA